ensembl:lncRNA
CCCCCCCCCCCCCCCCCCCCCCCCCCCCCCCCCCCCCCCCCCCCCCCCCGCCCCGCCCCGGGGGCGGUGCGGCGGCCCCGGCCGGCUCCCGCCGGCUCAGACCGGUUCUCAGCGCAAACAACCGCCCCCCGCCCGCUGGGCCAGCGCCGUGGCGGAACAGCCGCUUUUGCUCCACGAGCACCCGCUUUCCCCCCACAAAACGCCCGCUUUUCCCUCAAAAACAUUCGCUUUCCCCGCACCGAGACAGCCGGGUGAGGCGGCGCCGCGGCCGCCCCCCCCCCCCCCCCCCCCCCCCCCCCCCCCCCCCCCCCCCCCCCCCCCCCCCCCCCCCCCCCCCCCCCCCCCCCCCCCCCCCCCCCCCCCCCCCCCCCCCCCCCCCCCCCCCCCCCCCCCCCCCCCCCCCUCCGCCGGCCGUGAGGCGAGAGAAAGCGGCGGGGUUUCGGAGCGAGAUAAAAAUCUUAUUAUGCAACGCACAUUUUUAAUAGAUUAUUGCCGAGUCCAGGGCUGAGGUAAUGCGGGCUGUCAGCAGCUGGGGCGAGAGGCUGAGGGACGAGCGGGCUGCGGCCGCUCCCUCCCAAGGGCGCCGAAGACACUCUGCUGAACCGCUCUUCCGAUCUAACUUUAAUAUAUCGCAUUAUUUUUUUUCCACAGAAGGAUCUAUUUAUGUGGUUACACAUGCACAGCACAGGCAUCUCCAAACCCACUCAAAAUCCCAAAUCCCAGCUAAGUCACUGAUUCAUCACUUCUGGCAGCAAACAACGAAGGAAGGAGGAGAUGAAGACAAUGCUCCUGAAGGACAGUGCCUGGCACGAAGUUCCCAUCCGCCAUGUGUCCCAAGCGCUCCCCAGAGCAGGGAACACAACUCUGCCAGCUGAGACCAACAGGACAAGACUGGAGUGACCAAGUUCUUAAAUUUCAAAAGAAUGCAGUGUCAUUAAGACCUUAGUAACACCGUGGCCUCACAAAAUUGGCCAUUUCCACUUAUAAAAAAGCUGUAAGAGAAUCUCCAGCUUGCGAAAAUCCUCAAGACCACCACAGAAAUUGCAGGCAGUAAUUAUUCUCCAGACAAAUGAAAAGGGAUAUAUCACACAGCAAGUGGGAGCAUCGAACCAGGGAAAAGGGGGGGAGGCAGCUUUUGCUCACCAACAGGGCUAAAUUCAAAGUGUGUUGAAAAUUAAACACUUGUGCUUUGAAAGACUUCAAGGCCAGAUGGGGUUUUCUUCCCAAAGUAAAGAGAGGGUUAAAUUCUUAUUAUUAUCUGAUUACUGAAAAACAUGUAAAACUCUUUACUGAUCCUUCAAAAUUAAGUAUACAAUACACAAGAUUCCAUUACUUGCUCGACUGAGUUUGAUUUUAUUGUAUUAAUAAGAAAAAAAUGUUUUAUUUCCUCCCAGAGUAUCGUCUAUUUUUCCAUUACUAAAACUAGAAAUUGCCAAGAAAAUGAAAUGCUCAAGCACAGCAGACGCUGCUUUUCUUCUCAUUAAAUCUUAAAACUUGGUUCCAGUGGGAUCAUAUUUAGUCCUCUCAAAUUCAGAACAGGAUUUCAUCUCUCCUCAACAUCCCAACAAUGACUUUUAUAAAUAUUACAAGUUUCUUGGACGCCCUUCUCAUUCCACAAGGAGCAGAGAAGCACCAAUAGAGACUUUUUCUUCUUCCCCGGCUUGAGUUUUAUUUUAUUAAACCUUAAAUGUAACCAGCCCUCCUUUCAAUACAUUUUCUGUAGGAAAUAGCUGUAAUAAGUGUGAAAAAUCUUUGACAAAGGAUUAUCUCUAUUCAAGCAUUAAGCUCUCAUUGAGAGAGGUGUUGGAAAUAAACAAGUGUUUAAAGCAGCCUAAAAGUUGUCUUAAAUCUUCACCUGCUCUCCAGCCGAGACAGGACCUGGAUUUCUAAAUCCAGGAGGAGAAAACAGUAAUUAAGAGAAGUAAAUAAAUCCUUGCAUGAUUCUUUAGACAUGAGAGGGUGGGGCAAUCAGAAGAGGAGACACCGAUUUCCUCAUCUUGUCUUCUGUGCACUCCCCAUGGGUGUCAGCCCUUCUCACCCUUCCAGAAGGUUCAACACUGAAGGUAAGAUUUUGUGAGAAUAAUUCCCUUGGUCAGAGAGUUCUGCCAGAUGUAAAAUUCCAUUCACAGUGAUAAUCACAGAAUCCUAGAAUGGGUUGGGAGGGACCUUCAAGUUCACCUAAUUCCACCCCCUGCCAUAGGCAGGGACACCUUCCACUGUCCCAGGCUGCUCCAAGCCCCAAUGUCCAACCUGUCCUUGAACACCACCAGGGAUCCAGGGGCAGCCACAACUUCUGUGGGCACCCUGUGCCAGGGCCUCACCACCCUCACAGGCAGGAAUUUCUUCCCAUCCAUUCCUGCCUCUGGCAGUGGGAAGCCAUUUCCCCUCAUUCUGUCACUCCAGGCCUUCGUGAAAUCAAACACUCUAACUGAUACAAUUAUUUGCUUAAUGAAUAUUUUCAUUUUUAGAAAAGACCUGGUAUGCAAAGAAAACACUGCCAACACUGCAAACCCUCCUGAAGAGCAGAGCUCUUCGCCAAAGAGCAUAAAACAUUUAUGGGUGCAACCAUAGCUUUGUGGUUUCUACUACAAGGGUGAAUUUACUCGUAAAAGACCAAAUAUCAGAGAGGCACUUCAGCAUGAAUUAAAAAAUUAUUAAAAGAAAUCGGUGAUUUUCUAACACCUUCCCUGUAGGUGUUUUGUAAAGCUAUGCAAAUACAGAGCUAUUGCAGAACCAAGGACAUGGGAAACACAUCCCCAGGAAUCACAAACUUGGAUUAUUUUCUUUUAAUUCUUCCAAGUCUACAAUUUUUGCUGUGAGGCAGCAGGGGGAAAAAUGGGAAGGCGACAAAUCAACCUUGAGAAUGUCAGUGGUGUCAGGACACAAGAAGGAACAGAACAAUACCACUCAUCAUUUCCCAAAGCACACUGAAGUGUGGCCUGUAAAAAGUAGUUGACCCUAAAAUCUGCCUUUUCUCUCACUGAAGCAAAUAAAAGUGACCCCAUUCUCCAGGCACACAGGCAGCAAAGGCCUUGCGUCUGUACAUUCCUGCUCUGCCCAUCCAUCUUACAGACGCUGCAUGAAUCCACCACGGAAAAUAACGAACAACAGCAGCACCAUUCCCCUUGGAACCCCCGGUGCCAACUGAGCCUUUUUACAUUUCGACAUCAACAGCCGCAGCUCUGCCACGGAGCGCCUCCUCAGGAACGGAGCCGCGGGGCGCAGGGCACAGGGCGCAGGGACCUACCUGUCGCUGCUGGUGCUGCUGCUGCUGCUGAGGGAGUCGCUGCUGGAGGAGCGGCUGCGGGAGCCCCCCCCCCCCCCCCCCCCCCCCCCCCCCCCCCCCCCCCCCCCCCCCCCCCCCCCCCCCCCCCCCCCCCCCCCC